rnacentral:rRNA from 1 species
AGACCGGUCUACUGGUCGUACUUUUGUACGUACUGGUUUUAUUGGUUUCUCCUUUCUGACGAACUGUAAUGCCAUUAAUUUGGUGUUAUGGGAUCGAGAGCUGUUACUUUGAAAAAUUAGAGUGUUUAAAGCAGGCUCACGCUUGAAUACAUUAGCAUGGAAUAACGGAAUAGGACGUUUGAUUCUAUUUUGUUGGUUUCUAGGAUCGACGUAAUGAUUAAUAGGGAUAGUUGGGC